rnacentral:rRNA from 1 species
UACGUAGGGUGCAAGCGUUGUCCGGAAUUAUUGGGCGUAAAGAGCUCGUAGGCGGUUUGUCGCGUCUGCUGUGAAAAUCCAGGGCUUAACCCUGGACCUGCAGUGGGUACGGGCAGACUGGAGUGCGGUAGGGGAGAUCGGAAUUCCUGGUGUAGCGGUGAAAUGCGUAGAUAUCGGGAGGAACACCAGUGGCGAAGGCGGUUGCCUGGAGCUUUGCUGACGCUGAGGCGCGAAAGCGUGGGGAGCGAGCCGG